CACGACCCUCAGCACUUUUUUGGGGAUUUCGCGCGGAACCGACAUGGGGAACACGGAGGGGCAGCAGGACAGCCCUACUCUCAGCGACCGGGAAGGCCUCCCAGCUCUGCUCCCCUUGCGUCCGCAGAGCUGCCUCUCGCACUUCGCUGGACACCGGAACUCGAGACAAGCUGUCAGCAGUCGGCAGGGGAGCGAGCGCAGGAGCCGGCACGGGAGGACUGAGCAUGCGUGGUGCGCGCCGGGCGUCCCGUCCGGCGAGAGGUUAGAGGUCGCCGCCGGGGAUGCGCCCGCACCGGCAUUCCAGGGGAACCCGCUGCUUUCGCGGCUCCGAGGGGCUUGGGGACAGCGCUAAGCACUAGUGUGAGGCUCCCAGGAGUUACACUUGUUCCUGCCAAACCAUCCUACUCCUUUUCCAAGGCUCCCGCGGCCGUCGGAAAAAGCCAGAGAAGCGGCCCCUCUCGCCGCGGAUGCACUUCCCUUCCCCGGCAGGAAGGGAGGCGGCUAAGGAGUUGCGCAUGCGCUGUUCGCGGGCGGCCCCUGGAGUGGAGUGGCGUUGCCGGAUUCACCGCCCCGCCGGGAGUGCGCCUGCGCGGUCGCCGGGCUCCCUCCGCCUCCGCUUCCCCUCCCCCUGUCCCCCGCGGGGGCUCUGGGUCCGGCGGGACCAUGUUCACCAGCACCGGCUCCAGUGGGCUCUGUGCUGGAAAUUUAGUCAUAAAUGAAGGACAGAAGGUACAUUCAUGGCGGUGAUCUCAGGAACUAGAAGUCACAAAACACAAGGCACCUCUGUCCAAGAGCCUUUUACUGGUCCCCAGCGCCCUGUCCCUCUUGCUGGCCCUUCUCCUGCCGCACUGUCAGAGGUUCUUUGUGUACGACCUCCAGGCAGUCAAGGACGAAUUCCAGAUUUGGAGAUUGAUAUGUGGAAGAAUAAUUUGCCUCGAUUUGAAAGAUACUUUCUGCAGUAGUCUGCUUAUUUAUAAUUUUAGGAUAUUUGAAAGAAGAUAUGGAAGCAGGAAAUUUGCAUCCUUUUUGCUGGGCUCCUGGGUUCUGUCAGCCGUGGGUGACUUCAUUCUCGUGGAAGCUGUGCAGUAUUCCUUUGGUAUCACUGCAGCCAGAAAUUUGCCUUCUGGAUUCCUGGCACCUGUAUUUGCUCUGUUUGUACCAUUUUACUGCUCCAUCCCGAGAGUCCAAGUGGCGCAUAUCCUGGGCCCGCUGUCCAUCACAAACAAGACACUGAUUUAUAUACUGGGACUACAGCUUUUCACCUCUGGUUCCUACAUCUGGAUUGUAGCCAUAAGUGGACUUGUUUCUGGCAUCUGCUACAACAGCCAAGUGUUGCAAAUGCACGAGGUGCUCUGCGUUCCAAGCUGGAUGGCAAAGUUCUGUUCUUGGGCCCUCGAGCCCAUCUUCUCAUCUUCGGAACCCACCACCGAGGCCCGAAUCGGCAUGGGAGCCACGGUCGACAUCCAGAGGCAGCAGAGGAUGGAGCUGCUGGAUCGGCAGCUGACGCUGGCGCAGUUUGCACACUCGAGGCGGCAGAGGCAGCAACAGGGAGGAAUGAUCAACUGGAAUCGUCUUUUCCCUCCUUUACGACAGCGACGGAACGUCAACUAUCAGGAUGGUCGGCGGUCUGAACCACAAGCGUCCCCUCCUCUAGAGGUUUCAGAGGAGCAGGUUGCCCGGCUCAUGGAAAUGGGAUUUUCCAGAGGUGACGCUUUGGAAGCCCUGAGAGCUUCAAACAAUGACCUUAAUGUGGCCACCAACUUCCUGCUGCAGCAGUGACGUCCCAGCCGACAGCACAGGGACUGGCCGGGCUGCUGACCACAGCGGGCGCCGUCCCCGCCACGCCACCGGACCAGCCCAAGGACCCAGCACCCCCUGGCGCAAUGUUCUCACUGUCCCCUUGGGCAAAGGGUGGUCCCCACUGCUCCCUCCUUUAAUUCCAAGGUCAUUACCAUUAAGUAUCAAAAAUCAGUUUGCCAUUAAAGUAGCAUGUAUUUUCUAUCUUUAUUUUUUUAUGGGGCAUUUUCCUUGUUUUGAGAACCAUCCCUCCUUCCUAAUGUGUUUUAAAUGCAUUAAAAUAGCAGAUUUCUGCAAGUGGUUGAAUAGCCCUCCCGAUGGAAGUUACUGCUACUGUAAUAUUCCUUUGACUGUAGUGCAUCUUCGUACAUUAUAUCUGAUCCCCAGGGCCAGAAAGGAGAAAGGGGAAUGCUAUUCAGAAGGGACCUGUCAAAUUUUAUUCUUUAGGGACUUUUUUCAUUGCUAUUUUUUUCCUCGAAUUUGCUUUCCAACCCCAGUGGCUACUGAGGCUUCCCACUCCCUAGGGGUGAGCAGUUCGUGUGUGCGACACGCAGUGUUGGCCAGGCCUGGGCGACGAGGGAGAGACAGUGACCCAGACUCUCCUCGGCCUCUUUCCAGCCCACUCCAGUCCCGGGGAUUUUCCCCAGCCUCUCCCCGCUUCCACUGGAGAAUGAUGAUGGUAAUCGGGUGCCAAUUCAAGGUUCUGGCAUAUUCCAUGGAACUUAACUGGAGUUAACUUUGCGUAGAAUAUCCACAGUUAGCCACUCGGGCUGGGGUAAAAAUGGAACAAAGAGGAAACCAAAAGAAGAGUGGGCUUCCUGGGGGAGACCGUCAUCAGCCCCGUGUGGGCGCAGCCCUGGAGAAAGCCCCGUGCGGGUCCCAGCCGCGAGGCCAGCCCCUCUGGGUGCGGGUCCUCCCUGGCUCCAGGGCUGUCGGAUGUCAGCUUGGGGCAGAGGAGGCUGCAGAGGACGCCGUCACGGAGGUGGGGGGGAGGCCAGAGCCGACGAGCCUGGAAAGAUCUAAAGCAGGUGACUAUAAGAUUUAAGCAACUAUUGUGUUCUGCACAGCGAGCAGAGAUGUUUCAGACUGAUGCAAAUUUAGACAUGUGUGGUACAUACAAUAAACUUUUUAAUGUGUUUUA